AUUGAACGCUGGCGGCAUGCUUUACACAUGCAAGUCGAACGGCAGCGCGGGCUUCGGCCUGGCGGCGAGUGGCGAACGGGUGAGUAAUACAUCGGAACGUGCCCAGUAGUGGGGGAUAGCUCGGCGAAAGCCGGAUUAAUACCGCAUACGACCUGAGGGUGAAAGCGGGGGAUCUUCGGACCUCGCGCUAUUUGAGCGGCCGAUGGCAGAUUAGCUAGUUGGUGGGGUAAAGGCCUACCAAGGCGACGAUCUGUAGCUGGUCUGAGAGGACGACCAGCCACAUGGGGACUGAGACACGGCCCAGACUCCUACGGGGGGCAGCAGUGGGGAAUUUUGGACAAUGGGCGAAAGCCUGAUCCAGCAAUGCCGCGUGUGUGAUGAAGGCCUUCGGGUUGUAAAGCACUUUUGGCGGGAACGAAAAGGACUGUGCCAAUACCACGGUUCGAUGACGGUACCCGCAGAAUAAGCACCGGCUAACUACGUG
rnacentral:rRNA from 1 species